UUUCCGUAGGUGAACCAGCGGAAGGAUCAUUAUCGAGCUUUGACUGGGUUGUGGCUGACGUUCCGAGGCAUGUGCACGCCCGGCUCAUCCACUCUACACCUGUGCACUUACUGCGGGUAUCAGAUCGUGAAGCGUGCUCUUUUAGCGGAGCUUGUGAAGGGUGGCUGAGCCUGCGAUUAUCACAAACACUAUAAAGUAUCAGAAUGUGUAUUAGGAUGUAACGCAUCUAUAUACAACUUUCAGCAACGGAUCUCUUGGCUCUA
rnacentral:misc_RNA from 1 species